rnacentral:rRNA from 1 species
UCUAGCGAGGCUGCCAGCGAUAAGCUGGAGGAAGGUGGGGAUGACGUCAAAUCAUCAUGCCCCUUAUGACCCUGGGCUACAAACGUGAUACAAUGGCUGGGAACAAAGGGAGGCGAAGGGGUGACCUGGAGCGAAACCCAAAAAUACAGUCUCAGUUCGGAUUGAAGUCUGCAACUCGACUUCAUGAAGUCGGAAUCGCUAGUAAUCGCGGAUCAGAACGCCGCGGUGAAUACGUUCUCGGGGUUU